GUAUAAGAAAUAUUUUUUUUUCCCAGGUUUUCAUUUUCUUUGGUAAUAAUAAUGUGGGCUGGGAAGCUCAUGGUGCACUUUAGAGCUAAAAUGCUUGGCAAUCAUGGGAGUUUCCUCAAGACCUUAUUCCUUUACACUUUGUGUUUGUGUCAGACAAAUGAGGACACAGACUAAGUUCAGUGCGUAGCAGAGGGAGGAUUGCAGAGAGGGCCAUCAGCCCACUGACAAACCCCUGAAAAGCUGGGAGAAAGCUCAGCACAGAGGGGAGGCUGCUGGGUUGAACUGAUCCAGGUUAUCACUAUAUAUAGUGAUUUAUAUAUGUAUCAGGGCUUUAGUGGGGGUCUUUCCAGUCCUCCUUCCUUUUCUGUGGGACUGAGUGGUCUGUGGGUGCAAGGAGCGUGGUCUGCCUUUGCAGACUGCUUCUCACACCUGGGAGCUGGUUUGUGUUGAGCUGGAGUGCCAGCUAUGUCCUGGCUGCCUUGGGAGUAGUUUGCUAACUCUGGGGAGAUCUGCCCAGCUUAGAAAUUCAUUCUCUACAGAAUACUGGGUUUUUUUUUUUUAACAAGAUCUAACUGUAAAUAUCUGUAAACUAUAAAUAGACAAAGCAUUAAACUAAAUAUGCCAGAGUUUGUCUUAGCUGUCAGACUAAUUCAGAUCUAACCAGCCACAGAUUAUUACUCUGAAACUGUUUUUCUUCCUCCUAUACAUUAAAAUUAUUCUAAAUUUGCUCUCAUGUUAUGCUAAUCAUAGUUCUUUAUUACUGAGAUGUAAUACUUUAUUUUUCUUGUUGUUUCUCAGUAUGUUCACCUGGACAACACAUCAGCCAAACACAGCAUUGGGUUGGCCAAACCACCUGGGAUUUGAAGGGUUUUUUUGUUCCUCUUCAGUCAGAAGUGGAGGUGUGCUCAGGCAAGUGCUGCACGAGGCAAGGGAAGCCCCGAGAUACACUCUGUGUUACAGUCAGUAUUAAGCAGCUGCAAUUGAGAGCUGACUUGCUGCUGGUAUUUUGUUUGUUUGUUUUGGAAGCUCUUACCCACUUGCUUGAAUUCCUUACUGAGACACAAACUGGGAGUUCCACCAGUAAUCUUAAGAGUUGUUUGAUAGGCAGGCUCAGGAGCUCUGUUUUUCCUGGCUGUAAACCCAAACAUUUGUGGGACCACUUGAAAAAGCUGCAGCCCAAUUUAUCAGCUUUGAAUGCAACUAGAGCAAGGUGAAGAGACUUUAUCUGAUUGCCUCUGGCAUUUUCUCCAAAGCCACUUGUUUCUCAGUAGCAGAAAUAUCUUGCCCAAUUGGGAUGCAAUAAUUUCAAAGCAAGUAAAGGAAACUGCAGCUGCUCAGCUGAGUCAGCCAAAGGUGCUGGAGCCUUCUCAUGGUAUCUACAAGCUCAGGAUAGAGGUUGGAUGACACUUGUCAGUCUGUCCCACUGUGGGCCCCACUCUGUGUUGAGCACAUCCUUCUGGUUUUCCCUGUCACAUGGUGGUUCCCCAAGGGAGCAAUGCAAUUCAGACAAUGUAUUUGCAGCAAGGAAAAUGGAGUUGUUAUGGAAACAUCUGAGCGAGGCAGCUGACACGGGGUAAGGCAGGCACCAGAUUCGCUGUGCGCACAGACACACUAAAGCAGCGAGUUCAUGUAAGAGUAAUGGUGCUAUAAAGUGGAGCCUAUUUUGGGGCUGCACUGUGUGUACACCAGAGAAUGUCCAAGGAGCUUGCAGCCAGAGGCCAGUGAUGGCAGCUGGACACACAGACACAAAACAAGGACAUUUCCCUGCACAUUCUGCUAUAAACCUGGGGCCCUGGAGCCACAAGGCUCAGCUGGGAAACCCUGACCCACAGAAAAAUAAAAGUUCUCAUUGGUGUGAAAUUACUAUUUCUCCAUAAUAUCUGUCCCUGGCAAGAACACUGUUUUCCCCAUCUCAAGGGCAAUACUUCAUGGAAUUGCAACAAAGAAUUUUAUUUCUAUAUCAACUGCUUCUAUGUGCUGAUUCCAAAGGAUCUGUUCUUGAACACCAGGAUUGCCCACAAUGAGUUCAUCCAUUCAGGGAUGGUGAAGAUGGUUUGUGUCUGAGGUGCCAGGGAGGUGCAGCUCUCCUGUGACCUGUCCCAGCAACAGCUCAGGAAGGGAAGUGGGAGCUCUGGGGGGCAGGGAAGUGUUUGUAGCCCUGGGGCUGGAGGUGGUGAUGAGCUCUGGCUCUCUGCUGCCCUGUGUGCCCCCCAGAGCAGGUAAAAGCUCUGACUGCCCUCCCAACCCAGCUACUCAGCUUUGGGGUGUGAUUGUGUCAGGAACAGCUGUGCUCUCUUUAAAGAAAUUACCCUGGUUAUCUACAAAUGCUUGAAUGGUGACAGAAAAAAAUUCCUAGGUACAAGUCUUUCAUUUGAUAGUGAAAUUGAUGAAAAGCUCCUGAAAAUUACACUUAAAGCCACCACAGAAGCACUUUUAUAACAGAAAAAUGUUAAGCAAUCUAAAUUCAGGGGUCACUUCCACCUCCCAAACACGUCAGACCUGUCCAGUCAAUGAGGGAUUGUAACCUGGAAAAUCAAAAAUGAAGUGUACAGUAAAAAAUAAAAAAGGGGCUGAGAACAGACUAAGCACAAUAGCUCUGUGACAGGUUAAAUAUUCAUAAAGCAAUUCUGUGGGUAAUUGAAAUACAAGAUUGAAUGGAGGUCACUUCCACCUGUGAAUUUCUAGCUUCAAGUGAUUCUGUUCUGGGCUGUGCUGUGUCCCUGCCCUGUGCCAUGACACUGUGUGCUAUUGACACAGAUACAGAUACCUGACCUAGCCUGAGAGCAGCAGGCUGCUGUGAGCCCUGGGCAGCAGCCAGCCUGCAGGCCUGCAUGGUUACAGUUAUACAUAAACACUGUACCCACCUGUAAGAAUAUCAGCCCCAGCCAGGGGCUUACUCAGGUAAAACCUGCCACUGAAACAAUUUAUUUGCAUGUGCCUGCAGCAGGCCAAGAUGCUGAUGCUAGCCCAGGAAUAAUGAUUAUAAACAGCAUUUGUCAGCACCUGCAGUCUCACUGCAAGCAGCUAACAGGCAGCUAAAGCCCAAUUUAUACAGAAAGCAUUUAUUACAGAGUUACAAAAUAUAAUUAUCAGUGUACAAAUUUACAACUAUAAACUGAAACAGAAGUCAGGUAGUUAAUCAUACAGCUUUAAUACAAGAUAGAGUAUUAUAUACAAAUUAAAAAAAAUGGACACAACCAAUUUCAACAGUCUGUGAGACUGCUUAAAUACAGCAGAUACUGCUCAUUCUUCAGUAAGAAGAAAUGCUUUAUAAAUAUUUCAGAUGGCUGUUGCUUCUUCCAUCUGCCAGAAAGCCUGCCCUUUGAGCUGCAGGAAAACAUGUUUCUAUGAAUGCUUCUGAGUUUCCAUGAGCUCACAGGUCAAUAGUUCCUUUCAACUUGAAUUUCUUUGCAGAUCUCUCACUUGCUCUGAGCAGGAACUUGCUGCCGUAGAUGUAGGAAAUGAACCCGUCAAGCUCCAGGCUGAACACGUUGUUGAGUUUGGGAACAACUGAAGUGCAAAAGGACACAAACUGAACAAAGUGUGCUAAUGCAAGUCCCUGCAAUGGAAAUAUCCUGGCACACCAGGGGAUCUUAUUCACCUGGAGAUCUGAGCCUUGACACAUUUCAAGGUUUUUGUACUUUCUCAAGAGAAGAAAAAUAACCCAAGCCUCCAUGUUUAACUGGAAUUACCAAAGUCAGUCCUUGUGCAGGAGCAGUGUUGCACUUUUUAAAAACUGCUCAUCUCUUACAAGAUGUGUUUUGGACAAGCUAUUGGGCUGUUGGGUGGUGACUUCUGCCACUCUAUGCAAAAAGCCAAAAGCACUGAUAUAAACCAAUGCACUCAGAGGCACAAAAUGAAGAGUGUGCUCAAGAAUUUUUUAUGAUUCCUGUCAUGAAAAGAACAGAAAAAGAAUGCCUUGUAUACCUUUUAACUUGUCCUCUUUAGUGAUAAUUUUGAAGACGUGUUUAAAUUCCUGUAGAAUGAUUCCUGUUAUCCCAACAUAAGAGGGGCACUUUGAUUUUGUAACUGAAAGAACAGAAGGAAGUAUUAGUAAAUAUCAGAUGCCCUUUACUUGUUCUUCUCCUGUUGCCUCAUGAUUUUAAACAUUUUCAAACAUAAACAUUUAAAUAUUCUGAAAUAAUGUAGUUACAGUAGUCACUGGUAAAAUCUGCAGUUAACCUUUGCAACCAACAACAUGAUUUUCAAGAGUAGUUGUGAAGUAAUUAGAAUUUUUAAUGAAAGAAAUAUGAUCUCAACUAUGUGAUUCUAUAGUUAAUGAUACUGGAAGGAAUUUAAAAAUAAGCACCUGAACUGCAGGAUCAUCUCCUGAAUUUCAGAUGAUGUAUGAUGUUCUACAAGCAAACAAACAAAAUACCUGUAACAAUGGCUCCAUGGAGAUCAGCUUUGAGCAGCUUGCCCUGAAUCAUAUGGGGUUGCCUUGAAGAAGAGAACGGGAUCAAAGAAGAAGGAAAAAAAUCAAAUGAACUGUCAGAUUUACAAAACCUGACCAUGACUAUCAUAAUCACAAUAAUUGUGUGAUUCUGUGACAAUAUGCUUAUCAGUUAGCCACAGUGUUUCAAGCAGAAACUCAAUAAAACUGGAAGUAUCUAGUGUACAAAACUCUGAUUAAAUUUAAAAUAUGCCAACGUACGCAUCGGGUUUGAGUCCAUGGCACAGGUCUCUGAUGUACUGUUUCCAGAGCUCGUGGAGUGGGAGGAAGAUGGCAUAUCUGCAGUAAAAAAAAAGAUAAAUUCAAAGUAUUACACAAAAUUUAGGUAUAAGAAAGUCCAUUGGUUAAUCACUGAAGCAGUCUGUAUUUUCAGAGUUGACAUUCUUAAGUUACACAGCCUUCAGCUGCCCUGCAAGGUGCCCCACUCCAAACAGCUGCUUUACUUUAUAAAGCAAGCACAAAGCAUGCUCUUCUCUUCCAACCCAAAACUGUGAUGUCUUUUAGAGCAUCAGGUUAAGACUGAAGAGAUCUCUCCUUUUUUCCCCACUCUUUUAUC